UACGGAGGGUGCAAGCGUUAUCCGGAUUCACUGGGUUUAAAGGGUGCGUAGGAGGGCAGGUAAGUCAGUGGUGAAAUCCCCGAGCUUAACUUGGGAACUGCCGUUGAUACUAUCUGUCUUGAAUACCGUGGAGGUGAGUGGAAUAUGUCAUGUAGCGGUGAAAUGCUUAGAUAUGACAUAGAACACCAAUUGCGAAGGCAGCUCGCUACACGAAUAUUGACUCUGAGGCACGAAAGCGUGGGGAUCAAACAGG
rnacentral:rRNA from 1 species